rnacentral:lncRNA from 1 species
CAGAGGCUGACCUGAACUUUGCGUGCUCUGCGUUAGAUUGCUCAACCUGUCUGCUCCACAGAAACUCACCUCGCUAACCACUGCUUGCUGCUUUCUCUUUUUGUGUUAGCCUACACCCAAAGCCACUGUCAGAUGUCAUGGAGAUGAGACUUCAGAAGUUUGGAAGCUCCGCUGAAACCUGUCCACCAUGGAUGACCCUGCUGGUAUUUGAAAUACCAGUGGCAUAGCUUUCAGCAUCACAGAACAUGACAACUGACAGUAUUACUGCCACCACAGUGUGACAACCGACAGACGGGUGGAGUGGUUCUCUGACCAGGAAAUGAACCCAGGCUGCAGAGCUGGAUUCUAGAGUAUAAAUGGAGAACAAUGAGAGAUGAAGACAGAGUGACAGGGUAAAUUAUGAUGGACCCUCAUGUGAUGACAAUGAAGCUGGAUUUUAUUUGUAAGACAUUAGGGAACAACUGGAGGAUGAAGAGAUGCAUCCAGAGCAAAGACAAGGUGCCUGCCUAUGAGGCCUGUCCUGCACUGAAAGCUGCAGUUUGGGGUGCAUACGUGCUUCUGGCUUUCACUUCCUGAGGAUCAUUCGUUUUGAGAAAUCUGAACAAAGGUGGAGGCCGAAGCUGCACUCUCGCUACUCUCUUCUGCUUCCUGACCACCCCGGGGUUUUUUCUUGUGGCCCUGCAUGGCAUGCCCCGCCUUGCCUCUUAUCUCUAGGACCUGUGAGUAUAAUAAACUUUGUCUUCCUGAGUCUCUCCUCUGUCUCCUUGUGGCCACCCCUGACUGACCACCUCAUAAAGCAACACAGAACAGGCCAGAAAUUUGAAAAAGGAAAAACUUAAAAAUCAAGUGAAAGAGGGGCAUCAAUGGAAUAUUCUAGAGGGUGGGGAGUCACUCUCCAACAAACAGCAGCAGAAUGUCCUUCUCAGACAUUUGCUCAUCGGACUGUCAGCAGCUGAACCUGCCGCUAACUCCCAACUCCUCGUCUGCACGACUGCCACAUGCUGUUGUCUGUGGAUGAGGAAUGACAACUGUGUGCAGUAGAGAGAAAGAACGGUAAUGCAUCAAAGUAACACUUUUCUAUUAGGAUUAGUCCUGAUUCAAGCGCCAUUCAUUUAGAGAAGCACUACAAUUGAAAAGGAAAACUUGAAACUUUCUUUUAUCUAAUAGGUUUCUUGAUGGUGAUUUUUGAUUAAGUGCUUUUAUUGAUUCAACAGUAUUAACCUCGUUGACUAAAGCAUCUACACAUAUGAGAAGAAUCUGAUCAUUAUCUCCUAAUGAGCUAUGAGUGAUUCCUUGGCAUUUCCUUCUUGGCUUGAUGCAGAAGCCAGGAUAUUUGGCUUAACACUGGACUUCAUUUCUCUUAGCCAUGUCCGGAAACAGAAGCUCUUAAAUGGAGCCACAGUAAUUAAUCACGGAGAUCUCAGGCUCCUACACAUAACAGGUGCUUGCUAAGUGUUUGUUGAAGGAACAGUAGGAGUCAUCGAUUAUUUUUAGACUACGAUAUGUGAUCCUUAUUUAUCAUAAUAUUUUUCUGAAUAUUGACAUACUUGAAGUUCAAAUGAGAAAAGAAUCUAGCUUCUCCAUUGUAGAAUGACAGUUAUAUGUUGAGUUUAUCUUAAAGCUAUUUUUUACUUAAUGGCUGAGUUUUACUCAUAAGUGAUACAUUUUUAACCUGUUAUCAAUAACAUUAAAGAAAUAAUUUGCAGAGAAGUACACCUACCCCUAUAUUUUCAUUUCAAAUGGAGACUUGGCUACUCAGGAUGCUAUUCCAAAACUUUCAUUUUGGUUGUAAAUUACAAAUUUAUUUGAUUAUUCACUUGGGAUAUUCAAGAAAUUAUUUGGAGCCUUCUUUUUUUUGUUUGUUUUUUGGCCAUUUUUUGGUGUGCAAUUCAAAUGAAAUUCUAUUUAACAAAGGCAUAUUUUUGAAUUUUAAGAGCUAUACAAGCCAGGUAAAAGCACAUUAGCCCCAGGAGAUCACUAUAAAACUCAGACUUAAAAUUAAUUCCUCAAAACACACAAAAAAUACAAGUCCCUAUAGCUUAUGGCAGCCAUCAAAAACCAGUGAUAUAUUGUUCUUCUCCAUGAAGUCACUUCACCACCAGCAGGUUUUAGUUAACAUUAUUACGAUAGUGAAUGACCCUAAAGAGGGCUCCCUUGUUUAUUUGAGGCUCCUUCCUAAUAACCUACAGCUGUGUGAACACCAUCAGCUGUGGGAGUUUCUGAUAUGGGCACAUUAAAAGUGUUGGUAUGUCACUCCAUAUGGUUCUUAUGGCCUUCCUUUGACGAUGCAUAAUAUUCCAUCAGUCCCGCUGUCAAUGGCCAAUUCCUCAGCUGGGCUGAUGACUUGAAAACCUACUCACCAGUCUUUAAUUGUUUCUCAUUGUUGCUUCUAAAAAGCCAGCAUCUCUUUGUUUGCAGUGGGUAAGAAAUGAAGAGACACUCAGUUCAAAUUAAAACAGCUGAGGUUCUGAACAGGCCAAUCCCCUGAAACCUCAGUAAACUUUUGUAUUCACACACUCAAGUCCACUUGGUUGUGUGGAUACAACGCAAUCUGGAGUUGUUAUUGCUUUGAUUGAGUGAAAAUGUAAUCAUGCCUUUGCAAGAGAGGCCCCAAGGGCAGCACUGGGCACAAAUUUAAGGAGGGAUCUUAUUUUCUCGCCUUGAAAUGGAGGUGUUUAACUUUCAAACUUGAUUUUGAAGAAAGCAAUGAACAUAAAGAGCUAAUGGCAGUUUUACUGUAAAACUUUAAUUUAGAAAGAAUUAGUGGGAUCAUUACAUCUUUUAUUUGGGAAAACAAAGGCAUUACUGAAAAAUAAUGUACCUACUACAUGUAAAAUUAAAUAGAACUUAAAGGGAAAAGGAAAUAAAUAUGCAAAACCUAAUUCUGUAACGAGGUCCAAGUUUUAUUCUUUUAAUCUUUUAUUUUGCUACUAAAUCUUAAUUUAGGGUCAGUCUUACAGAGCCUUAGCAAUUUAUUGCUUAAAAUGUUAGAGGAAAACAAUGUGUUGUCAUCGUCGUUGGAUUUUAGACAUUUGCGGGUUUUUAUUAAUUGGAAAAUGCUUUUGUUUUAAGAAGGAUGGUAGAAAGGAGACAGUUUCUGGGGAAGGUAGUUUAGAACAAUUGCCCUCGUAUUUUCAGACUUUUCUUAUCUAUAAAAAUUUAUUUAAUUUCUCUAUGUUUCUGUUUACCUGCUUUCAAUAGAAGGCAGAAAAACACCAAAUUAACUCUAGGAAAUGAGGAAUGUCUUUAUAGCUAUGUAUAAAUACUGAGCCAAUAAUUCUAAGGCCUGUAACGAGUGAUGCCAAAACAAACGAAUAAUAAAGAUUAUUCCUAUUUCAUGAGGUGUUAGUGUCUGUGAAAUAUUCCUAAUCUUCAAAAUCAAUUAAGGCAUAUUUUUAAAUGGAAGCUCAAAGCUGAAGACUAAAGAACAUUAGUGGAACUUCCUUUACCCAGAAUUAAUGGGCCUUGAUGCUGUUGGAAUUCUGAGAAAAAGGGUAUCAUUCUACAAUCCUCAACCCUUUAAUUAUACAGCCACUUUGUUGUAAUGGUCUCCUUACGUGUCUGAGGGUUCACUUACACUGUGGCGGCCACAUGGCAGGAUUAUCUCUUACUGCUUUGUCUUUCCUCAUAAUUUCAUGUCUUCCUCAAGGGUAGGAAUGAUACAUACUUUCUUAAGUAACUUUUCUGUUAUACCUUACAAAUAAACCUCAAUAAUUGACCCCUCAAAUCUUUUCUUACGUAAUGUAAGAAAUGUAAUGAUUGUUCUUUAAAAUACUCCCUUGAAGUUGGAAAGCAGGUGGGAAGAAGGUGCUUUAUUCACUUAUUAAACUGUUGUCUGCAACGUGUGGACUUAUUUAACAUACAUCUUACAAAGCAGGAUGCUAAGAAUUGCCUGAAUCAGGAUAGAAGAGUAAACAUUUGAAAUUUGAUAAUUAAGAGGGUUUAUUAAAUAUUGGCAAACAGCUACUUAAGUGUAAAAUAUAGAGAUCACAUAUACAACACAGUGAGUC